rnacentral:rRNA from 1 species
AGACCCGAAACCCGGUGAUCUAGCCAUGGGCAGGUUGAAGGUUGGGUAACACUAACUGGAGGACCGAACCGACUAAUGUUGAAAAAUUAGCGGAUGACCUGUGGCUGGGGGUGAAAGGCCAAUCAAACCGGGAGAUAGCUGGUUCUCCCCGAAAGCUAUUUAGGUAGCGCCUCGUGAACUCAUCUCCGGGGGUAGAGCACUGUUUCGGCUAGGGGGCCAUCCCGGCUUACCAACCCGAUGCAAACUGCGAAUACCGGAGAAUGUUAUCACGGGAGACACACGGCGGGUGCUAACGUCCGUCGUGAAGAGGGAAACAACCCAGACCGCCAGCUAAGGUCCCAAAGUCAUGGUUAAGUGGGAAACGAUGUGGGAAGGCCCAGACAGCCAGGAUGUUGGCUUAGAAGCAGCCAUCAUUUAAAGAAAGCGUAAUAGCUCACUGGUCGAGUCGGCCUGCGCGGAAGAUGUAACGGGGCUAAACCAUGCACCGAAGCUGCGGCAGCGACACUGUGUGUUGUUGGGUAGGGGAGCGUUCUGUAAGCCUGUGAAGGUGUGUCGUGAGGCAUGCUGGAGGUAUCAGAAGUGCGAAUGCUGACAUAAGUAACGAUAAAGCGGGUGAAAAGCCCGCUCGCCGGAAGACCAAGGGUUCCUGUCCAACGUUAAUCGGGGCAGGGUGAGUCGACCCCUAAGGCGAGGCCGAAAGGCGUAGUCGAUGGGAAACAGGUUAAUA